AACGUAGGUGGCGAGCGUUAUCCGGAUUUACUGGGCGUAAAGCGUGUGCAGGCGGGCGAGCAAGUGGUGUAUGAAAGCUCCAGGCUUAACCUGGAGAGGUUAUGCCAGACUGCGCGCCUUGAGGCAGAGAGAGGGACAUGGAAUUCCGGGUGUAGUGGUGAAAUGCGUAGAGAUCCGGAGGAACUCCAGAGGCGAAGGCGGUGUCCUGGCUCUGACCUGACGCUCAGACACGAAAGCAUGGGGAGCGAACGGG
rnacentral:misc_RNA from 1 species